rnacentral:rRNA from 1 species
CAAUAGCGUAUAUUAAAGUUGUUGCGGUAAAAAAGCUCGUAGUUGGAUUUCUACCGAAGAUAGCCGGUCGGGUCUUCGACAUUGUAUCUGGUUUUGUCUUUGGUAUCCUCAUAGGGAACGUUUCUGCGCUUUAUUGCGUGGUGCGGUAUCUAUGACUUUUACUUUGAGGAAAUUAGAGUGUUCACGGCAGGCAAACGCCUUGAAUAUAUUAGCAUGGAAUAAUAACAUAGGAUCUUCGUCCUAUUUUGUUGGUUUCUAGGGCUAAGAUAAUGAUUAAUAGGGAUAAUUGGGGGCAUCUGUAUCAACGCGUCAGAGGUGGAAUUCUUGGAUUGCGUUGCGACAAACUACUGCGAAAGCAUUUGCCAAGGAUGUUUUCAUUGA